AUAUCUGCCAAGUGUUUUUUUUAAAUGAACGCUUUCCACCACUUUUCACACCCCACCACCCAAUCUUGGCUCGCCUGAAUGACAGCGCGGCAAAAACUGUUGAAAACGGGGAAAAAAUGAGAAUGACUGAACUGGAAUAGACGUGUCGGGGGGAGAGAAGAUGGAUUCCUGUGCUCUCGGUGGAAAGCUGUCAUAACAGUCCUCAAGCAGCUGUUCUGGAUGCAGCUAGGUGUCGCCGGAAAUGUGUCACACGCACCUCCAUUCCUCUGUGCAGGCCCAGGCAGGAGUCCCACCUAACUGUGUCACAUUUCCAUCUCGCUGUGGUGAAAGCCACCCGGCAGAGAGGAAGAGGAGCGCCGAGGAGCCGGGGCACAGGGGGGAGAUCCUUUAAUUCAGACACAGAGGGAAGCUUAAAGCCUCCAUCCGCUGCAGCCGCACGUUGCCCUCUCACAUCGCUCACUUCCAUCACAGCGACUCUAUUAGAUCCGCUGUGACAUGGAGUGACUGUGUAAUGAGCAAGAACAUGCACCCUCAGUGGCAGUAUAAUGCUCAGUAACUAUUGUGCAGUGUAACCGCUGCUUUUUCUUCUCAGCGUGGGGUUAAAAAAAAGGAGAAAAAGUAAAGCAUCAGAGUUAACAACGGCGAGCAGUCGAGGGAUCCAGAAAGUAAAAAAUCGCGUCGUCCCUGAUAAUACUGAGCCCUGCAGGAGGCGGUUUAAACUUUGGAAAUUAUAAAUGCCCACCAGACUCGAGCACCAUGUUCGCAUACCCUCAGCCUGAAAAGCUCAGCACCCCCAAGUUGUUUUGCUCCAGUAGCUUGUAAUGACAAUGUUGGCACUUUGAAAUAACCCACCUUUGGAAUCCUCUGCUGCCAAUAGCCACGCCACGCACUGGAACAUCAAGUCUACAGCCGCACUGAGGAACACUGCCCAGCAACCCCUCUGCCAGCCCAGCCAUCUUCGGGCCCAGCACUCCCACUGCCGGCCCACACUCAUGGCUUCUUUUUCACCUACUCCAGUCUGCGCUUGAGUUCUGUUCCCCGAGCCCUGACAGACGGUCAGAGUGCUGUGUGAGAGCAAGAGAGACAGCGGGGCAUGGAGCGCUGCACACAGCUGUACAAUGACGCAGCGGCUCAAAACACUAAGUAAGAGGUCACUAGGCCCAAUAUUAUGAUUCAAAAAUAUAUAGUAUCAUAUUGAAACUCUGGCGGGACAAAUACAGACAACCAUAUACACUUCAGUUAUAUCAUAGCAAACAUCCAGCAGAGCAACAGCAGCGUUCACUGUAAGGGCGUGUUUGUGUCGACACUGGAAAUUCUAUGCUCUGUUUUGAUCCCAACUCCUCAAAGAAAUAUCUGUUUAGCUCCUGAAUUCCCCACCUCCUUUACUUGUAACUGUUUGGUGCUGAGCAGUAGUGCACAGUGGCCUUUUGGAGCCUUUUCAGUGGAAACAGUUGCCGACUGCUGCAGACAACGAUGCCAUGUGACUGGGGAGCGCGAACCAAAGCAGUUACAUAGUGGCCAUAAACACGAAAGCAAUAAAUAAAAAGAUAAUGUCCUCUGUGAAGCUCAGGGAAAUGGAGAUGA